UUACGAAGCCUUAAUUCACCACUACAUAUCACUUUUAUCUCCAUCCUAUCAAAUGAAUCAUUGUAUGAAGGAAAAACUAAUGCGUGGCACCGAAUCUUAAUUUUUUUUGCUUGUUUCACCGAAAGUGAAGAGGAAUGAAGUUAUUUUUUGAUAGUAAAUAACUACUUUUUUUGUUUUUUUUUUUUUUUACUUGUUUCAUCGAAAGUGAAGAAGGAUAAAGUUCUUUUUCGAUAAUAAAUAACUAUUUUCUUUGUUUGGUUUGUCAUAAUUUAAUUCAUUCAUGACUCCACUUUUUCAAAACGCCAUAAUCGAUUUCAUCUUGAACUAGUCUAGGGACCCGUGCGAUGCGGCGGAUAAAAAUAUUUUAGUAAAAAUUUAUAGAUUUAAUAAAUAGAUAAAAAUGUGAAAAAAAAAUUAAUAAUAUGAAAAACACAGAAAAAAACUUUUAGAUCGAAAUUACAAUCUAACGGAAAAUAAUGUAAGAAAUAAAAAAAAAGUAAGAAGUAUAGAAGUAAGAAAAUGAUUAUAUAGAUAGUCUGAAGAGAUAUUUAGAAUAUCGUGAAAAAAGUAUAACAAAUAAUAAAAGAUAAAUUGAAGAGGCUCAAAUUUAUAUUUAAAUAAUCAUAUAAAAAGAUUUAUCUGUUCUAUUAUCUUUCCUAACUCAAAUCAGAUUUCUCUUAAAUACCAACUAUUAUUGUGUUUACCUAUGGAUAUCAAAAUUUUAAUGCCACUAUACAAUUAGUACAGAAGGCAAAGGAAUUGAAGAAAAAGUAGCAAGAAAUAUAUGACAGCCAUGUAAAUAAAUUUUGAAAGUAAUAAUAGUUAGUUUUAACUAUCUAAAUUGUAAAGACCCAUUUUCAUACAUCCAUGAAUCAAACAACCUAUAUAUUAUUUUUAGUAUGUUGAUACAACAUGACAAUUUAAUCAGUGUUCUUAAUAAUUUUACUCUGUCAAUUUUUAUGUAACUCAAAUAACUUAUUUAUGAAUAGUAGUGUACAAUAACGAAAAAACUUAAGGAAUAAAAUUUUCUUUCUUUAUCAUUUAUUAUAAGACAAUGCCUUGUAAAAAGUAGAAAUUAAUGAGGCAAGAAGCCGAAGAGGUAACGAUUUUACGGAGAAGACGAACGGGCACAGUGUGGAGGAGCAAACAAAGAGCGAAGUGAUGGAAGAGUAACAUUUAAUAAGAGGGAAGCCGAAGAGGCAACGAUGUUACGCGGAAGGUGAGCGGACACACUGUGGUGGAGCGGAUGAAGAGCAAAGCAAUUGAAGAGUAAAAAUCGGGAAAGGGAGAGGCUCUAGAGGUGGGUCCCAUGGGCAACGAGAAAGGGAGAGGCUCUAGAGGUGGGUCCCAUGGGCAAAACUUAAGGAGAGCAUGCCACGUGGACUAGUAAAUAAAUUUUAAAAGUAAUAAUAGUUAGUUUUAACUAUCUAAAUUGUAAAGACCCAUUUUCAUACAUCCAUGAAUCAAACAACCUAUAUAUUAUUUUUAGUCUGUUGAUACAACAUGACAAUUUAAUCAGUGUUCUUAAUAAUUUUACUCUGUCAAUUUUUAUGUAACUCAAAUAACUUAUUUAUGAAUAGUAGUGUACAAUAAAGAAAAAACUUAAGGAAUAAAAUUUUCUUUCUUUAUCAUUUAUUAUAAGACAACGCCUUGUAAAAAGUAGAAAUUAAUGAGGCAAGAAGCCGAAGAGGUAACGAUUUUACGGAGAAGACGAACGGGCACAGUGUGGAGGAGCAAACAAAGAGCGAAGUGAUGGAAGAGUAACAUUUAAUAAGAGGGAAGCCGAAGAGGCAACGAUGUUACGCGGAAGGUGAGCGGACACACUGUGGUGGAGCGGAUGAAGAGCAAAGCGAUUGAAGAGUAAAAAUCGGGAAAGGGA
rnacentral:lncRNA from 1 species